UACGGGAGGCAGCAGUGGGGAAUUUUGGACAAUGGGCGAAAGCCUGAUCCAGCCAUGCCGCGUGCAGGAUGAAGGCCUUCGGGUUGUAAACUGCUUUUGUACGGAACGAAAAGACUCCUUUUAAUACCGGGGGUCCAUGACGGUACCGUAAGAAUAAGCACCGGCUAACUACGUGCCAGCAGCCGCGGUAAUACGUAGGGUGCAAGCGUUAAUCGGAAUUACUGGGCGUAAAGCGUGCGCAGGCGGUUAUAUAAGACAGAUGUGAAAUCCCCGGGCUCAACCUGGGAACUGCAUUUGUGACUGUAUAGCUAGAGUACGGCAGAGGGGGAUGGAAUUCCGCGUGUAGCAGUGAAAUGCGUAGAUAUGCGGAGGAACACCGAUGGCGAAGGCAAUCCCCUGGGCCUGNACUGACGCUCAUGCACGAAAGCGUGGGGAGCAAACACGGAUUAGAUACCCUGGUAGUCCACGCCCUAAACGAUGUCAACUGGUUGUUGGGAAUUCACUUUCUCAGUAACGAAGCUAACGCGUGAAGU
rnacentral:rRNA from 1 species